GCCAAGGGAGCCUCCUGAGUGCCUGGAAGUGUGCCUGGUUACAGGGAGCCUCCAGGGACAUGCAGAAUGCACUCGGGGACUGUGGGACAGAUCUCAUGAUAACUUGAGGGCCCCUCUCCAACUCGCUUUCAUGUGUGGCCCAUGGAAUGUAACAUGUGUGCAAUAUGAGCUCAGAGUGAACCAUUGAACCAAGCAGAGUUCCUGCCUCCCGUGGAAUAAAGACCAAAGGACCCUGUUCUUGGAAUAAAGGAGACUGACCAUAACAAUCAACAGAAUGAAUCAGGAAUGGAUGUGGCACGUGGCAGGUGGAAGGUGCUCUGGGAGGACGGGAGUGCCAGGUGGCUGGGGUGGGCAGGCAGGCGGGGUAUUCCACGGGCUGGUCAAGGUGAGAAGGAGAGAAUGAGAGAAGGCAAUGUGGCUUCAGCUAUGAGUCUCUGAAAGAAGAACCUCAGGUCCAGGGAAUGAAUGGAGCAAAGGUCCUGGGGCAGGAGUGCAGCUUUCGGUGGAGUCACAGGAAGGAGGUUGUGUGGUUAACCUGGGGUGAGUGCAGGGUGGACGACAGAAUCAGGGCCAGAGAUCUGGGGACUCAGGGCAGGGGCAGUGAGGCCCUGCAGUCACUGGGAGGCCUUAGACUCAGGCUCCAAAUACACGAGAAGCCAAUGUAGGGUCCAGGUGCUCCCAGGGAUGUGUCCAAGCAUCUCCCUGCCUGUGGCCUGCAGAGUACAUGGAUUGGUGGGGAUGUGUCCUACAGAAGUUCAAGUGUUGGAAACAAACAUAAUCCCCAAAUUUGUAUGUUAAUGGUGCUCGGAGGUGGAGUCUUUGGGAGAUAAUUAGGAUUCAUCAAGGGCGUGAGAAUGGGGCUCCAUUAUGGCUUUAUUAGGAGAGGAAGAGGCCCAGUCACACUGGCUCUGACUUGUCACACAAUGCCCUGUGCCACGUUAUAGUGCAGCAAGUAAGCCCUCACCAGAUGUGGUGCCACACUCUGGACUGCACAGCCUUCAGAAGGUGAGCUAAUCAGACUUUUUUUCUUUAUAAAUUACCUGGUUUCAGGUAUUUUGUUAUGGGAACUAAGACAGGGAUAACAUAGAAGGAGAGAGAUGGUUUUGGAAGCUGUUGCAAUAACCCCAGCAAGAGAUGGUGUGCUAGGACCAGGGUCAAGGUGUGGAGGUAUUAUUCUGCUAUUAACAAUAGCUGAGACUCUGUGGCGGUCUCCUGUCACCUCUCCCAAGUCGGCUUGCAGAGUUAUUCUCCUCUUCAUAACUGUUUCCCUAGAAACCACUACACAACCAAGUUUCCCAGUGUUUCAUAUUUUCCUCUGUUCUUUUCUGUAUAGUUUUUCUAGCUUCUUGGCUUUGUCUUCGGCAGUCUGCUGGAGAUGUUCUGUCCCACCUGGAGUACUGAUCACACUGUGCUUCCAGAGGAAGCAGAGAGCCGGGGCUGGCCUUGUGCCCUGAAAGCUCAAGUCACCUGCCGUGGUGACGCCAGGCCAGCUGGAGAUGGGUGAGCAGCCCUUGAUAUCUGGGCUUGCCUCUCCAGAUCCUGCUUUCUCCAGCCAGGAGAUAAGAUUUCAGACCGCGUGAGCACUGAGAUUGCUGGCUCCAACUUCAGAGCAGUAAAUGGCAGUAUUCAGGUAAAGUCCCAAGUCUGUCAUCAGGAAGUUGGUAAUAAAGGAAGCACUCAACAUGGGACCCGCACGGUGGGAAGAAGAUGAGCAGGGCCCCUGUGCGGUACCGAGUGUGUGUGGGAGUUGCUCACAUCGGCACUGCAGGGCUGAGUUCUGCAAUAACAUUUUAAGAGGUUUCUAUGCUAGAUGUUAAAAACAGCCAUUAUUAAAACUUAAAUUAUGUAAAAUUACAAGUGAAUAAGUUAUAUUAAAAGAAAACAUAAUAAAAACACCAAGUGCACCACUUUCUAGUUAUUUUGCUGAAUUUUUCUAUUGUUUGUGGUCUUAGUUUUAUGUACAUCUGUUACCUCUGUAUGUGGGAAAUGGGCUCUAUGCUCUCUUCCCCACUCUGCAGUAGUGACUUCACACAGACAGCCUGACAUUGGCCAUGGGGGGGAUAUUUACACCACGGAAAUUGGCACAGGUGACAAAUCAGGGGUUGGUUCUUAUUAAGAAAACGACUUGAGAAAUUUAACUUAAAAGUGUACCAUGUCUAUAGUUGUAGCACUGUGCAUAUUAUAAAAAUUGAAGAGGUUAUCUUGCGAUAUUUGAAAUUAUUAUUUGAUUCAGCAAAGAAUUUGCUUCUAUCUCUGAUGAACAAGUUCUGACAUAUGUCCCUGUUGUUUUGCUUAUUAACAUAAGGAAAAAAUAUGCUUUUCCUUUACAUUAGUGAGGAAAUAUUGCUGUCAGAACUUCCUCAUCCGUCAACUGCAACACAGAUUUGCCAAGGAUAUAAGAGUUCAGCAAAAAAAAUCAAUGAAACCAUUCUGUGAGAAUCGAUCGACUAUGUGGAAUUGAUGAUAAAGAAUACUGUGUAUUUCACUAUUAUUUGUAAAUGGCGUGCUACAAAUCUCUUAUUUCAGUAAAACGUACAAUAAACUUGUGCAUGUACAUAUGCA